UAGGUAAAGUAAUAAUUUAUUUAUUUUACUGAUAUAUUGCAUUUAAACAUUCCCACUGAAUCCCAACCCGUACAAAUACCUGAAACCAUAACAUAUCAGAUUCAGGCUGGUUUUGUGGUAUUUCUACCUAGGUCUGAAGCAGGAGAGGUUACCUCAUGAGGGAGCCUGUUCCCAAGUAAAUUGCAGGUACGUGAGAUAUUCUUGUGAGACUCCUUUCUGUGCCUAACUCAGCUUCAGAAACAUCCACACUUGUCACUGCCCCAACAUUCUCUUGAGAAGAUGAAAACUGCUGCAUCCUUAUAUUGCAGCAGCACAGAGAGGAUGGCCUUGAAAUGUGUGUGAUAAAUAUGCUUUUAGAUAUGGGUAAAAGAUAACCAAAGACAAACCAGGGCUUACCCUGCCCAAAUAUUUAUGGGAAAGAGUAAACUGUUUACAAGGCCAAUGUACAUAUCAGGAGAAAAUGACUUUGCAUUUUUAUCUUGUGAACUAAAGAACAAAAGAAUUCAGCAACUUGCUUUGAGACAAACAGAAUGUGAUUGUUGAUCUGACAGUGCUUGCAACCAGAUCAGUGUUUUGCCAGAGUUCAGGCAUGACUUCAGCUCUUUGUUCCUCAUUCUUUUACUAGAAAGAGUUGAGAAGAGCUAAUGGAAAACUCAUAAAAAACAUUCAUAGAGAAUCCAUUUCAAAAUUACCAAGUAAUGCAUAACAGUGAUCUUCACUGCACUGUCACAAUUUGCUAAAAUUUUAUUGAAAGCUGAUGAUUUAACAAGUGUUCUUCAUUUGGAAAGGAACAAAUAUAAGGACUUCUUUCAUGGAGCAGAAAGAUGGGAGCAAUUUGCAGCUUCCAAAAUCCGAGGUUCUGGCCAACAGAGAAGUACCUAGCAGAAACACGCGCAAAAGGGUUCUAGGACAAUUCUUUUUAGCAGGGGUGUUUAUGUGAGGAGUAAAAGCCACAGGAAAGCACAAACUACAGAUAAAGUGAAGGUAACAGCCUGAAAAAG
rnacentral:lncRNA from 1 species